UACGGGGGGGGUAAGCGUUGUUCGGAAUUACUGGGCGUAAAGGGCUCGUAGGCGGCCAACUAAGUCAGACGUGAAAUCCCUCAGCUUAACCGGGGAACUGCGUCUGAUACUGGAUGGCUUGGAUUUGGGAGAGGGAUGCGGAAUUCCAGGUGUAGCGGUGAAAUGCGUAGAUAUCUGGAGGAACACCGGUGGCGAAGGCGGCAUCCUGGACCAACAUUGACGCUGAGGAGCGAAAGCCAGGGGAGCAAACGGG
rnacentral:rRNA from 1 species